UCCGACCUCAGAUCGGACGAGAUUACCCGCUGAAUUUAAGCAUAUAACUAAGCGGAGGAAAAGAAACUAACAAGGAUUUCCCCAGUAACGGCGAGUGAAGCGGAAAGAGCCCAGCACCGAAUCCCUCAGUGUCAUGCUGACGGGAACUGUGGUGUGUGGGACGCCACCAGUCGCAUCAGUGGACGCCGAAGUCCUCCUGAUCGAGGCUUCACCCAGAGCGGGUGUAAGGCCUUUGCAGGUGCCUCACUGUGCGGCCGCGAGCGUCUCAGGAGUCGGGUUGUUUGGGAAUGCAGCCCAAAGCGGGUGGUAAACUCCAUCU
rnacentral:rRNA from 2 species